rnacentral:ncRNA from 2 species
AAGCAUUCUUCGGGGCGGGGUGGAACUCCCCACCGGCGGUAUAGCCCGCGACCCCCUCCCUUUCUGCAUACCCGUUUUUAUACAGAAAGAGAGGGGCUGAACUGGUGCCCGGCUUUCGCUGAAGCUUCAGCGAGGCGAGAAUUCCAGUGCCGACGGUAUAGUCCGGAUGGAAGAAGAUGCGA